CACAACCUGAAUUUAUGCAGAAGCUGAGUUUGGGUUCAGUUCAGAAGAAGGGUUCUAUGCCCAAUUGGUCAUGUUUGGAGGACAUGUUCAUUUCCCAACCAUUGUCCUGCCUGCAUUUUCUAUUCUUGACCAAUGUAGAUGUAGUUGGCCUCACCAUGUUCCUUUUUGAGAUACGUAAUUUUUCUUGAUGUUCUGAAGCACUGGUUGGUAUAUAUUAAAAGUAGAUGUUGUAAACGGACAUAUUUUCCAAAUAUCUUUUUGUUAAAAUCCACAUGAAACAUUGUCUUUGGGCAAUGGAAUGGCCAAACCACCUUUUUGGACAGGACACGUUGUAUUUGUGUUCUGGUCUAGGGAAGAGCAGAAAGGAGCAAAUGCCCAUGGGCUCCCUGUGGUGAGGCCGGAUUAACCAGUGUCUCACAGGGCUGCGUUUUGUCUCACUUUGCUGUGCGUGUAGUGUAUAUGAUCAGCAAACAAGUCCUAAUUUUAUAGCACCUACUCUUUCUAUAUGUUACAGAGGUUGCCAGCGUUUGACCAAAGUCCAGUUAGUAAGCAAUUUUGUAAGUUUUGUGUUAAAAUUCAUAGGAAAGACUGUCUUCCAAAAAUGACUUGUGGAUAUCGUGAACAUCACCUCUAAGCAUUGCACAUGCGUAGAUUUGCCCAGGGGGUUGAUAGAUGUGAGAAGGGGAAGGGUUCUAGGCCAGCAUGUUCCUAUGUAGAAGAUGCUUUCAGGACACAGCCUUUGUUGCAUGUGUGCAGUUAAUGCGGAUGAACUUCUUCCAUCAUCUCUGAAUCAUGUAGCUUUAUAGGAAGGACUGUCUUCUGGGAGCGACCUCUGUCAACCCACCUCUUGGAUGGAGCCAGA
rnacentral:lncRNA from 1 species